GCAUGUUGAUAAAUUAUGGAACAUGUUGGAUGGCAUAUGAAUGGUUGGUAUAUAUAUGUAGACAUAUUGUGGAAUAUGAUAAAUGAGUGCAUGUUGAUCUAGUGUAGAAUAUACUAGAUGAAUGUAUAUUGACAUAUUGUGGAUUAUGUUAAAUGACACAUGCAUGUUGAACUUGGGUCGAUAAACUCUAGGUGAAUUAGAGAACUCGACAAUGGAAAACAAUGACAUAUGAACUAUGAUAUGUGACGUGGACAAUCUAUAUAUAUUAAAUCGAGUGGCAUAUGAUUAGUAUAGUGGAAACACUUAUGGCAUGUUGAACACUUAGAAAACAAGUGUAGCAUGAGUCCAAGAAUAUAGUAGUGUAUAUGACACAAGUGAUAGUAAAGAAUGCAAGGAAAAGAAUGAUUGAAAUAUUAUGACAUUUCAACCCUAGAGUUAGGGUCAUUUGAGCAUAGUCUUCCUAAAGUUAAGGAAUGGAUUGAACUUGGAGUCCUCAAAUGUAGGAUUGAUCAUACUCACCUUUAGUCCUUGCUCGAGGUUGUGGUAGCUCCCCCUCCGGCGAUGUGCUCCGGAGUCGACAUCACUGGGUUGUAGCGGGUAUCUCCCCAGAGGACGGUCCCACCGGGUUGUAGUGGGUAUCUCCCCGGUUAAUGGAAUUUUGGGUUGGUGAGUUUGUUGAGGGCGAAACCUUCGGGUUAGCCAAGAGAUUGGGUAACAAGCACAUGAGCUGUAAUAAUAUCCUAGUUGAGUGGACUUAAGGCUGAGGUGCAAGUGAGACGUCCUUCACCUCGAGCCUGCCUUUGCGCAGUACUCCGCGAAUGAUUGACUCGAGACCGAGUCGGGUGGAUAGUUGAUAAAGGUAAAUGAGACCCUAAUGGUAAUUGAUAUGAGUUUAAAAUAGAGAAAUAACUUCGAGGUCAAUUGAAUGAGCUAUGAAUAGCAGGAUUAAAGUAGUUUCGAUUGAACUACUAAUUGGUUGCAUAAAUCGCAUGAGUUUCAUAUUGUAUGGUUGUGAGGCAUGACAUGUAUUUCAAUUAUCGCAUAUAUAUAUAUCUGUUGGAUAUUUGUUCGACUAACAUAUUGCAGUGCCUCCCUUGGACCUAUUGGUCGAGCUUUUCCCUUGGGUGGCCGUACCCACUAGGAAUUAUGGAGUUGGUUCUCACCCCACGUUGUUUUGGGGUGUUACAGGUUCAUACGUGAGCGGCGCAGCGGCGCGAGGCGAGGGCGUAGCUCCAUAGUUAGCGUCCUACCACCGAGACCAGAGAUAGCGGUACCCCAAGUCAGCCUAGCUAGGGGUGUAGAAGAAAAGAAAAGGAAAGAAUGAACAAUGUUGUAAUAAUUUUGAUUGUAUUUGGAAGUUAAAUGUAAAAUGUAAUUGUGAUGUAAAAUAUAUCUAGUGAAUGUGAAUGCUUGUAAUAACAAGUAGAUUAUGUUUUUGAUACUUUCUUAUGCAAUCUUUGAUUGAAAUGUGUUCCUGGUUGGAACUUUGUACAUUGUAUUGAUUGCGACGCCUUGAAUGUACAGGGGAGACUCUGUCCGCGGUACAGGGGAAACCCUGUCCGUUCGGCGGUCUGUUGCGGCGCCGCGACCCGGCCAAAUAGGCGGGCGGUCUCGGGGCGUGACAGAUAAGAUGGUAUCAGAGCAUAAAAAGAACAUAAAAAGAAUAAUAGAAAAUGGUUUAGUUGGACCUAGAAGACCCUAGGAUAGUAAACCAUAGGAGAUUAAGGCUCGUGAGAGACGAGGACUUGUGACUUUUGGCGAAAGGUUAAUUGAUUGGGUUGUGUCGUAAACCUCUAAAACGGAUGUUAGAGGUAGAUUCAAGGUGUGGUUUAUUCUCAACCGAUGGUGUUCGUGUUGGGCGCGCACAACAUGAAACCGAGUGAUGAGAAUAGACGCCCUUGCGUGACUUUCGCCCGAUUUGAGUCGGUAAUAAGUGUCUCGUGUUCGACCUAGAAGGUCGAGGAUUAAUAGAGUUGUCGCGUUUUAGGAAACGACAGCACUGCGUAGGCGAUCUUUGUUUAGAUCGGCGCGGGAUGGGCCAAGUGGUGUCCCUGGGCAAUUUGAGACGAGCGGAGACUUGAGACUUCGCGAGCGAUUGGCCACUCUCGUGUGUGUGGCGGGGUAAUGAGCCGAAUUAGUGCAGUGUCAGCAGAAGGCUGCCAUAUGCCGGGAGGAGCGAGUUAAGAGACUCCAAGAGUUGGGGGAUCAGUAGUGACCGCACCAGUUCCAGCUCGUUAAGUACGGCCGGGAGUCGCGACGAAGGUGUGGUGGACAGGCGUCGAGUGGAAUCGACUGCCUGGUCUCCCUCCUGUGGUUUGGGAUGAGUUUCGGGGAUCGGUAUUCUCUGUUUACUCCCCUGAUGGUGGAAAAGAAAGCUUCAGGAAAAGUUCUCGAAGCUGCGGCAGGUAGAUCGCGCCGUGAGGGAAUACGACCGGGAAUUCUCCCGUGUCGUGAAUUUCAUCCCGGACAUAGUGCGGGAUAAUGAGAACGAAACUCCUUUUGGGAGGGGAGAAUGUAACGUACUGAAAUUUCGGUAAAUAAACAUCAAACUUUAGUCAAAUUGACCAAAGUGCGUUGAGAGAAAUAGUUGGAUAAAGUCCAAUUGACAUUCCGACGAUGUUGGAAGGAUAAAAAUUGGGCUCUAAAAGAGUUAGAAUGGUUUUAGCAUCGAUCGGUGCGAGUUGGAGUCGAAAACAAGCUAAAACUACGUUCUGGAGGAAAGUGUACCGGUACAUGUUGAUGGUUGUACCGGUACAGCAAGCGGCCCGAGAAGAGCAUUGCUCUCGGGUUUGAGUUUUCGUAGAAGUGUACCGGUACGCCCCUGGUUUGUACCAGUACCCUUUGGUAAAAUCCGAGGAGGUUGCUCUCGGGUUUGCCUCUGCACAGCUUUGUACUGGUACAAAGCCCGUGUACCGGUACACAAUGGGUCUGACAGCAGGUUGAGAUCUGCUGCAAAUGAGAAAUGUUGGGGGGUUUAAAUGCAGUCGUGGCGGUUUGUAUAAACCCCACACCUCUUCUUUCCUUGUUCACAGCAAGGAGUACCCCUUCAACUCCAUAUUCUUUCUUCUCUCACUCUCUAGGAGCUUUUCUAAAGAGGAGGAUUAGAGGAGCUUUGAGGAUUAGGCCUUGUGGAUAGAACAAGACAGUGCAAUUGUGCGAAGGGAGCGUGAGUCCAUUCGCAAGGAAAAAGAAAAUAGGACAGCCAACGAGUCGAUUCGGUGGUCCGUCAAGUUUUCAACUGAGUGCAAUGUGUUCGCGCUCGUGAUCCCGAGUUUCGGGGACCUACUGUGUUUGGUCCUAAGUGAGAUGUGUCGUAUGUGGGUGUUUUCGUUACCCACAGUAUUGCGAGCUGUGAGAGGGCAAGUGCUACAGGUGUGGGCAACCGAGCUGUGGGCGAGACGAGUGUCCGCAAGGUGACAGCCGGGGCCUGACACUGGCGAGAGCCUAUUUCUCUCUAGGAUGGCCUGCAGGUGUGGCACCUGCGGUAUGGUCGUAAGAGGGGGCAUUAAAGACAAUGCAACCUUAUGGUUCGCGGCAAGCGCCGGUGGUCGUUGAUACGCGACCCAGGUUGAGGACCCUGCUGCUAACGACUCCGUUGCAGGUGUGGGUUAUUGAUGCAAGCAUAUGUUUUGCAUGAUGUGAAGUUGAUGCAUUGCAUGCAAUGAUUAUGUGGUUAAUUACAAUUGUCGUGCAUGACCAUAGUAGAGACCGAGUGGACGGGUAAGUAUCGAUACCCGGGCAUUCUCGUGUUGUGAGGGCGUAAUACCUACCAGUACAGGUAUAGAGCCAGAUGGCACUAGCGAAGUGCUAGAAGUAAUCUAUGAUGAAAAGUGAGACUCGCGGUAGAGACAGAAGUGGCGAAUCGACUUUCAGAGCAACUUAAUUAAUAGAUUGUUAGAGUUGAGCCGGGGUAUUUGAGAACACCCGAGUGGUUCGAAAAAAUUUUGGAUGUCAUUCCGGUAGAUCGAACAGUGAAAGUAGAAUCACUGUUGAGGGAAUAGUUGGUUAGUAACCAAGUGCAAGCAUGUAGGCCUAGUAGUACCUCAAUGUGAGGUAGGAGGGUCGUGCUUGUGUAGUCGGCGUACGUAGGCAAGAAUUGCCUAACACGGGACUUAGUGUGCAACGCUAUGGAGGCGUAUGACAUUCGAGUAGAGUUGCUCAUGGAGUGCGGGUUUAGUUCAGUUAAGAGAGUGUAUUGGCCGUAGCACUUGAGCGUUGCUAGGUGUGAAGCGUGCCAUGGAUGACUCGUGGGACGGGUGACUCGCAUUAGGUGCAUAGUAGCCGGUAGUGGUACGUGUGACUCGGUAGAGCAUGUCGUGCGAUUGAUAGAAUACCGAGAGUACGAGUGUGACCCAACCCGGAGAUCUGUAAUGGUUUGAGAUCUUAGUUGCUCCUGGUUGGAGUGUGUGCGAAUUCCCAAGUGAGAAUUUCGCCCGAUCAUGAUUGGGUCUGCAUUUGUGAGAGAGAGACACUGCGUAUUGAGACAGGUUUAAGCGGUAGGCCUACGUAGGAUUGGUGGCCUUUGGUCCACCUGUGGAGACCGAAGAGAGCGAUUUGGCAGAUAGCCUUAUCGAGGAGUUUGGCUUGGAUUCACGAACAAGGCGUUCGCAUGAGCUCGUUGCGAAAAUAGUUCGAUGUUGACCGUGGCAUAUGGUAUCAGAAGAUGAAGUGCUCUUGGUGAGACCUUGAGCUAGUAGUAAGCCACGUGGAGUUGGAGGAUUGGAAUUGGGGAUGUGCUAAGGUAGGCCAUUUCACGUUAAAGUUGAGGGUUAGUGCAAAUUUAGAGCACUCGCGACGGAGCGAUGCACCGGUGAUACUGCUCAAGCAAUGUCGGUGAUCGAAUCGGAGUGUAUUCCCUGAAGGGAAGGCCAAUACAAAGAAGAGUUCUUUGCGUGCCGAAUGGCGAGUGGUGUUGGAGUGCGUAGAGUCGUCGAGUAUUGACUUGCGCUGCCACUGUGACUUACAAGACCCGUGAUGCACUUCUGCAUUACACUUUGCGAAUGAAUUUAAGAAUAAACCCACGUCCUACAGUAUGAGCUACUCCUGGAACCACGAUAGUGUGAAGCCGCUCUGGAGUGGGAGAAGGAGUUGGUACCCUCAAUUGCUCGCAGAGCUGAAUUGAGGCGUGGUUUGAAUUUCGCGGACGAAAUUCUUUUUAAGGGAUGGAGAAUGUAACAUACCAUAUUUUGAUAUAAAAAUAAAAAUAAAUAAAAAUAGUGUGAGAAACUAUUUUUUUUGAAUUUAUAGGAGUAAAACAUAAGUUAGAAAUGACUUGUGCUGAAAUCGGACUGGAAACAGAAGAUUUAGAAUUUUCUGUUGGAAACGGGACAGAUAAAUUAGCAGAAAAUGCACAGUCUCAGAAAAUUAUAAAAAUUGGAGAAUAAGUCAGAAAUAUUUUUAUGAGGCUAGAUUUGAAGUUUCAUAUUUUUCUGACACCCGUAGAGUGAGAAAUAAAAUCCGAGAGUUAUCUGAUAAAGAUUACAGUUCGGUACAGUUUUCAAUGACCAAAUGGGGUCGAAACUAAAAACUUAAAAUAUAUUCUUACUCAGUACGUAAAACCGAACAUGACUGUCAAGUUUGAGCUUAAACGGACAUUCAGGGAGCUCUGGCGAAAGAUAUCAAAUUUCAAGCUGCCUGGAGUGAAUAAUGUUGGAGGUGUUGAUUAAAGAAGCUGAAGCUUCUUCUUCCUCAUUCGGCCGACCAUCACACGCACGCAUGGAGAGGGGGGAGAGAACCCUCCUUUCUCUCUCUAGAUUUCUCUCUCAUUUCUCUAUAUUUCUCGCUCAAAUUCGCGGGGUUGGUGGACAUGAUGCUUGCGAACGCGUUGGGAGCGACGGAUCGAGCUUUUGCGCGGCCGUUGGAGCGGCGUGUUCUCGUCGUGGCGUUCACAUUGAGGUAAGCUUUUGGGAUUUUGCUUAAUCCUUAAUGCUUAGUGUUCUAAUAGCCUCUAAUGUGUUGAUUAGCAUGUUGAAUCCAUUUAAUUUGGGUUAAUUGGAGCAUGUGUAGAGACUAGGUUUUUAAAAAUGGUAGAACCUUAGAGCUUUAAUUAUAUGCUCUAGGAAUGGGUUUAGAGGACUCUCUAUAUGAUAUCUACAUGCUAAUUGCUUGAAUCAUGAAUCAAUUUUGAAGCUUAUUGCAAUAGUAGCAUGUUAGGGCUCCAAUUUUGGGGUUUUAUAAAAUGUAUGGGUUUGAUCUAAAUUGACCCUAUGUAAACCUAAUUGCUAGGUAAACGAACGCGUUGGCGAAGUCGAUUCGGUGAUUCGUCGAGCCGUUACGAAGUUAUUAAAGAAACGGACGUUUAGGCUUCGUUUUCGCCCGCAGGGCCGAGGCGACAUCGUAUACUUAUGAAAACGGAUUUGAAGCAUCGUGGCACAUAACCGAAGACCUUUAAUUUUCGGAUCGUGAAUUGGAGGCCGUUCGGGUGGUCGCGCGAGAGAUCGGGCCAAACCGGGUGCUGGGUGCCGCGGGAGGCCGAUUGCAAGUGUCGACAAGCAAUCGGAAUGCGAAAUGAGGUGGGUUGUGCUCACCGAAGCGACUAGGUCGCCUAUAUGUCUAAGAGUAAUGGUUUUCUAAUUGAUACAUAUAGUUGUGUUGGUAGGCUUACAUGAUGAUAUGAAUGCUUGAAACAUACUAUGUAGUUGAGAUUACCUACCAAUGAGAUGAGAUGCAUAAUGAAUUAAAUGCUAAAAGAAUGCAUGAGUUAAUUGUCACAUGAAUGUAUGAAAAUAAUGUUAUAGUAAUAUGUUAGAGGUAAUAUGCAUGUUGAUAAAUUAUGGAACAUGUUGGAUGGCAUAUGAAUGGUUGGUAUAUAUAUGUAGACAUAUUGUGGAAUAUGAUGAAUGAGUGCAUGUUGAUCUAGUGUAGAAUAUACUAGAUGAAUGUAUAUUGACAUAUUGUGAAUUAUGUUAAAUGACACAUGCAUGUUGAACUUGGGUCGAUAAACUCUAGGUGAAUUAGAGAACUCGACAUUGGAAAACAAUGACAUAUAAACUAUGAUAUGUGACGUGGACAAUCUAUAUAUAUUAGAUCGAGUGGCAUAUGAUUAGUAUAGUGGAAACACUUAUGGUAUGUUGAACACUUAGAAAACAAGUAUAGCAUGAGUCCAAGAAUAUAGUAGUGUAUAUGACACAAGUGAUAGUAAAGAAUGCAAAGAAAAGAAUGAUUGAAAUAUUAUGACAUUUCAACCCUAGAGUUAGGGUCAUUUGAGCAUAGUCUUUCUAAAGUUAAGGAAUGGAUUGAACUUGGAGUCCUCAAAUGUAGGAUUGAUCAUACUCACCUUUAGUCCUUGCUCGAGGUUGUGGUAGCUCCCCCUCGGGCGAUGUGCUCCGGAGUCGACAUCACUGGGUUGUAGCGGGUAUCUCCCCAGAGGACGGUCCCACCGGGUUGUAGCGGGUAUCUCCUCGGUUAAUGGGAUUUUGGGUUGGUGAGUUUGUCGAGGGCGAAACCUUCGGGUUAGCCAAGAGAUUGGGUAACAAGCACAUGAGCUGUAAUAAUAUCCUAGUUGAGUGGACUUAAGGCUGAGGUGCAAGUGAGACGUCCUUCGCCUCGAGCCUGCCUUUGCGCGGUACUCCGCGAAUGAUUGACUCGAGACCGAGUCGGGUGGAUAGUUGAUAAAGGUAAAUGAGACCCUAUGAUUAGAAUGGUAAUUGAUGUGAGUUUAAA
rnacentral:lncRNA from 1 species